ACGCGAUACUCACGCAAUUAAGCUGUAUUUUUUGUUGUUGUUGUUGUUGUUGUGUUGUCUAUCCGGCCUGAAUUUUCUGGGUCUUUGACGUAAACUACUUUGAAUUUUAUUUCAAUGGGACUUAUUUUGGAUUUGAAUUCUUUUCUGUUUACGCAUUUUACGAGGACCUUUUUUUGCGCCUGAAUUGCUUUAUGUCGAAAUACUCAUCGACUGGGAAGCUGGUGCUCGCCCUUGGUGCUAGUAAAUUUUAUGCGAAUAUUUAGUUUGCCGUCUUAUCAGUGCAGCUUUAUCGAAACUUAUUGUGUUUGUUUAAUUGAAUUUGGAUUGCGACGACGCCGACGACAAUUUCGCGUUUGAGUGAACUCUAAAAAGCUCUGCCGGAGCUCAUAGAUAAAUCCAUUGCGAAACUCUCAAGAGUGCCAAGCAGCUCCUAAGGAUGGGUGGAGUAUGUCUAAUUAUCCCCUUGCGAGCCAAAGGACCAUCCACAGGCUAAAGAGAAGGCAAUAUCUUACAAUGAUACGCUAAGUUGCUGACUGACUUAAAUAAAUAAAUAUAAAACAUACAACCACUAUAAAUAUAGAUUUAUGUAAAUAAGAUUAAAAAUUCAUUGUACAUAGUAACUGUUUGGCUUAUUACAUUAUGUUAAUUUAAA